rnacentral:rRNA from 1 species
AGUGAACGCUGGCGGUAGGCCUAACACAUGCAAGUCGAACGGCAGCACAGUAAGAUCUUGCUCUUACGGGUGGCGAGUGGCGGACGGGUGAGGAAUACAUCGGAAUCUACUUUUUCGUGGGGGAUAACGUAGGGAAACUUACGCUAAUACCGCAUACGACCUACGGGUGAAAUCAGUGAUCUUCGGACCUUGCGCGAUUGAAUGAGCCGAUGUCGGAUUAGCUAGUUGGCGGGGUAAAGGCCCACCAAGGCGACGAUCCGUAGCUGGUCUGAGAGGAUGAUCAGCCACACUGGAACUGAGACACGGUCCAGACUCCUACGGGAGGCAGCAGUGGGGAAUAUUGGACAAUGGGCGCAAGCCUGAUCCAGCAAUACCGCGUGGGUGAAGAAGGCCUUCGGGUUGUAAAGCCCUUUUGUUGGGAAAGAAAAGCAGCAGGUUAAUACCCCGCUGUUCUGACGGUACCCAAAGAAUAAGCACCGGCUAACUUCGUG